UACCUGUGAACCCAAAACCAUAUUCCUCC
rnacentral:piRNA from 1 species